rnacentral:rRNA from 1 species
UACGUAGGGGGCAAGCGUUGUCCGGAAUCAUUGGGCGUAAAGAGCGUGUAGGCGGCCAGGUAAGUCCGCUGUGAAAUCUCGAGGCUCAACUUCGAGCUGUCGGUGGAAACUGUCUGGCUAGAGUCCGGAAGAGGAGAAUGGAAUUCCUGGUGUAGCGGUGAAAUGCGCAGAUAUCAGGAGGAACACCCGUAGCGAAGGCGGCACUCUGGGCCGGAACUGACGCUGAGGAGCGAAAGCGUGGGGAGCGAACAGG